AUUGAACGCUGGCGGCAGGCCUAACACAUGCAGGUCGAACGGUAGCACAGAGAGCUUGCUCUCGGGUGACGAGUGGCGGACGGGUGAGUAAUGUCUGGGAAACUGCCCGAUGGAGGGGGAUAACUACUGGAAACGGUAGCUAAUACCGCAUAAUGUCGCAAGACCAAAGAGGGGGACUUUCGGGCCUCUUGCCAUCGGAUGUGCCCAGAUGGGAUUAGCUAGUUGGUGAGGUAAUGGCUCACCAAGGCGACGAUCCCUAGCUGGUCUGAGAGGAUGACCAGCCACACUGGAACUGAGACACGGUCCAGACUCCUACGGGAGGCAGCAGUGGGGAAUAUUGCACAAUGGGCGCAAGCCUGAUGCAGCCAUGCCGCGCGUAUGAAGAAGGCCUUCGGGUUGUAAAGUACUUUCAGCGGGGAGGAAGGCAAUGCGGUUAAUAACCGUGUUGAUUGACGUUACCCGCAGAAGAAGCACCGGCUAACUCCGUG
rnacentral:rRNA from 1 species